rnacentral:tRNA from 1 species
GGGGCUAUAGCUCAGUUGGUAGAGUGCUUGCCUCACAUGCAUAAGGCCCUGGGUUUGAUCCCCAGCCUA